rnacentral:lncRNA from 13 species
CCCGGCGGCCCCUCCGCGCCCCCCUCACGGCGCCAGGCCCCGAGCCCGGCCCCCGUCAGCGCCGCUACCUUGUACUUGCUGAAGCCAGCGAGCUGCUCGGGGCUCACGUACUCCAUGGUGGCGCUCCCAGCAGGGCUCCUGCUGCCGCCGUUCCCGGUGCCGUUCCCGCUGUUCCCGGUGCCGUUCCCGGUGUUGCCGGUGCCGCUCCCGCUGCCGCUGCAUCGGCCCACCCGGCGUGGCCGUGACGUCACCGCACCCCGCCCCGCCGCGAUGGCGCCGCCUGGCGGCCGGGAGGGCCCCGCGCAGGGGGGGGGAGCGGGAAAACCCGGAAAAAAGAUCCCAAAAGAUCCCAAAAGAUCCCAAAAGAUCCAUCCGGCCCUGCCCUGGGGCAGCGUGGAGCCAUUCUCUGUGUCCCGGCACGCCAGCCUUGCUAGGAAGUCCCUCUCCGUCUCUCUUGGAUCUCCUUCAGGCUCUCCCAGCCUGGCUCCAGAGCAGAGGGAGGGAGAAGAAGGGGAGGACGAAGAGAGCAAAGGGGGGAAGGGAAGGUAAGAGCAAAGUUGGUGCUCUCAGACCUCUCCAUCUGCCCUUCCAUCCCGGCUCCUCCCAGCCUGGCACCCCAGCCCUGUCCCCCUCCUUCCCCAGCCCCUCUUUCCCAGCGUGUGCAGCAGACAGCCCCCACUGGGCAGCUCCUGCUCCGCUUUACAGUCGCACCCCAACCCCAUCAGCUCUCCUCGGAGCCAGGCAGGGUGUCAGAGACCAGAAAAGGUUGAUCUCUGGAGACACUUUGGGAUGCAGGUGUGUGGGGAGGUGGGGCAGGUCGGGCCUUGCUUUGGCCAGGCAGUGCCCUGCUCUUCCACCACACCCCCCAGACCAGCCCUAGAGCAUCCCAGCCUGGCAGAGCUGUCCAGCACUGGCACACCAGAGGCUGUCCCAGUCCUCCCUAACCCAGCUCCUGAGUCACCGAGUGACCAGAAGUCCCACAUAGGGGGAGGGUCCACGGAGGCCCUGGAGUUUAGAAGGCUGACCACAAGGUGACCACGUGUCUGACCCUGCUUGCUCGUGGAGUCUACACUGUAAUCCAGCAGUUGGUACCUGUAUGUGUGGUUUUCUGUAUCUUUUCUGUCUUUCUCUCUUUCUUCUCCUUCUAAUUCUCUUUUCAUGGAACAUUUUGGGUAAGGUAACAUCAAAGAGCUUUAAAGGUUGCUAGGUUAAAUGGGGUAGGUUAAUGCUAUUUAUAUGUGUUUUAUGUUGAAUUGCAUGUUGAGUUAAAUCCUUUGCCAAAAUUCCUUGAUUUUCUAUCAUUUGCCACCAAAGUUCUGUGUAAUUUUGACAUCUUGAGAAUAUGUGGUUGGUAUUUCUCCUGUGUGCCAACCCUGAGUAAAGGAACCUCAGUUGAGCCCCUUACAUUUGAACACCCCGGGCUGUUACACAGGGUCACUGCACCCUUCGUCACAACUGGUGCAGACUGGGAGAGCUGCUGCAUCCUGGUGUCACUGGAAGGCACAGAAUCCAUGAAUGCUUGAGGUUGGGAAAGACCUUUAAGCUGUUUGUGCUCCCCAAAGCAGGGCCUGCAAUUUAGGAGAUGCCAGAUGAUCCCACUGAGGGAGACUUUGGCCAAGGAGUCCUGGCAGAGACUGGGCAAGGUGCAGAGAGCCAUCUGGCUGUACUGGAGAGGGAGCUGGCACAGGUGAGAGUAGCAGGUGAGGGACCCUGAACCCAGCCCAGGCCUGAGGCCACCCCCACUUGCUGCACUGGGUCCCUCCCAGUCAGCCCAGUUGUGGCACUGGAUCCCCCCCACUCACUCCAGCAGCUGCACUGGGACAUUCCCCACUCAGCGCAGGAGGUGACACCAUGGCCAGGGGCACCUCCACUCCCAGUCCGGCUCCAGGAACCGGCCCAAAUCCCCUCCCAGCCCAGCUGUCCCCAGGCCCUGGCACUCAGCCCUUGCAGCACACGCUCACCCAGCCCAGCUCUGGCUCCUGCCACUGGCUCUGGGUCUGCUUGGCCAGGGCUGGGCUUGGCAGAGUUUGGGCCCGUUCCCCUUUUGUCCCGCAGGUUCCCAGCUGAGCAGCUCCAGAGCACAGAACCGCGCUGGAUCAACCUUCUGAGCCCUCCGUGCGAGUGACAGGCCAGGCUUGGUUCCCAGCGCUGCCUCCCUUGGCACCUGCCACUCCCACUGGUUUCCCUGGAUGUUGUUGUGGUUUGGGGCUUCCUGCCCUCUCUGCUGUCCCUGCAGACAGUGAAGCUGCUCCUGGAGCAGAGACCCUGAAAGGAGCAGAGCCUCUGCUGCCACACGCCCUCCCCCAGUGCCACCCCGCUGUCCUCUGCCUGUCUGCCCCACUCAGAGCUCCAGUCACCCCCAGCUGGGGCUGCCCUGAACACAAAGGAGGCACAGAGUAGCACGGUCCAAAUCAACUCCUUUAUUAGCAGA